UUGUUCAAAUCAUUCUGCAGGUCUAGGGAUAAGGAGAUAUGAAUAUUUAUUUAGCAAAUACAGUCAGUAAAGAUAGGCACUGCAUCAUUCAGGCUAGAGGAACACACAGCUAUAAUGGAAGGUAUUUAGCUGUUCAUUCCAACUUUUCUUAGUUGCCUCCUCUUCUCUUCUCUUCUUCUCCCUACCUCAAACAUAGCUGUUUAUUUGGUUGCAUUGAUGAACUCAUAGUUAUGUGUGGACGAACCUCUGUAAUCAGUGCCAAAGCAUCCUGUGUGCUUUAGAUCUCUACAUUCUACAAUUCGCCAUGAAGUUUCUCCUGGAUACCUACUGGUCUUUGUUAGUAGGAAAUACAAAAUGAAAAUGAAAAAACACCUGGACAGACAUUUAAUUGGCAGAGAAGGUUGAGAAGUUAAGAUGUGGUAGAAGGGAAAGAGGUCUGCAUUUGGAAUUAGCAGAACUGGUCUUGAAUCUUUUCUCUGUCAGAUACUACCUGUAUGACCUUAGUUUUCCUCAACUUCCUCUACUGGGAGUCUUUCUUUUAUAUGUACAGAGGCAGAGUUGGAAGGGCCUUAGAUGUGCCUGAAUUGGACAACCCAUCUCUAAUUUUAUAAUGGAAUUUGUUAGAGUAAAUGUGGUUCAUUUUAUAAAAAUUUGCUAAAGAGCCAUCUUGGUUGGAAUGUGUCUUCUCAGCAAAGCAGGCAGGUAUCUGUAUAAUAUCUAACAAAGCAUGCACAUUGGUAGAGAGUAGGGGAAGAGGGUACCAAAUCUAGUUAUGGGUUAAUUGGAGACAUAGCUUUUUGAAUUGGAAAGUUAACUGAAUGACUAAUCUGUUCUUCCUAGGUUACUGUUUUGGUAGGACACAAAGUCAUUUCCUUGUUCAGGGGAAGCACCUCUCACCUUUAAAGUAGGCACAGCUCAUCUGAGGAAUCCUUUCCUGGACACCCUGGACAACUGUCAACAACUACCUGAAUAUAUCAAAUGCUUUCAACUGAUCCUAUUGGCUCAGGAGGGAUCUAUCUUCUUUGGCUCAGAUUGGAGCAUGACAAGAAUAUUUCUCAGCAGUAAGGAACAUGGCUUGAAGAUAGAAGAAUGAGACAGCAGGAAGAGUACUGAAUUACUGAGCUUGGCAUCAGAGGACCAGGGUUUGAAUCUCAGCUUGGCCAUUCCCUCUGGUGUGACUUUGAACAAGUCACUCUCUCAUCAUUAAAAAAAGUAUAUAUUUCAUUAAAUACUCCCAAUUACAUGAAAAUUUUAAAACAUAAAAUUAAAAAAAUGGAAUCUCACAUUUUCACUCUCCCUUUCCUACCCCUCAAUAAGGUAAGCAAUAUAUUAAUUAUACACUGAAGUCAUGCAAAACAUAACUCCAUAUUAGCCAUGUUGCAAAAGAAAACAUGUACAAAAAUCCAGGAAAAAUAAAGUUAAAAAGUAUGUUUCAAUCUAUCCUCAGAGUUCAUCUGUUUUCUAUCUGAAGGUGUAGAGCAUUUUUCAUCAUGUGUCCUUUGGAAUUGUCUUGGAUCAUUGUGUUGAUCAAAAUAGCUAACUCUUUCAUUUGGUUAUUCAUCUUUAUAAUAUCGUUAUAACUAUGUACAAUGUCUCCCCACCCUUUCUGCUCACCUCAUUUUGCAUCAGUUCAUAAAAAUCUUCCCAGGUUUUCCUGAAGCUAUCCUGCUCAUUUUCUAUAGCACAAUAGUAUUCCAUCAUGAUCAUAUAUCACAUUCGCAUCUCCUUGACUUCCAGUUCUCUGCUCAAAAGGCCCUUAUUUUUUAAAAAUCUCUUCGGGACCUAGACUUAGUAGUGUUUUUUUCUAGGUCAAAGCAUAUGUCCAUUUUGAUAACCUUUCGGAUCAAGCUCCAAGUUGUUCUUACAUAUCAUCAAAUAUGUGCCAGACACAGUGUUAAGCAAUUUAUAAAUAUUAUUUCACUCAAUUCUUUAAACAAACCUGGGAGGUAAGUGCUGUUGUUAUCCUCAAUUUACAGGUCAGGAAACUGAGACAACUAGAGGGUGGCAAGUGAGUGUCCUAUGUUCCAAUCAAUCUGUUCUCGGACACUUUCUGACUUCAGACUCAGGCCUCUAUCCACUGUGUUACUUAAUUCAGUGAUCUUAUAUAAUAAGUGCUAUAUAAAAUUAUGUAAAUAAACAUGUUAUAUAUAAUAAUAUACAAUAUAAAUAAAUAAAUAAAAUAAAAGAUAUCAUAAGGUACCUUAUGGUAUAGGUAUUUUAAUUCUUCUCUUGGUCACUUAGAAAAGAAACCACACUAUUUAUUAGUUAGUCUUUCAGAAUGUAAACUGCUCAAAGGACUAACUUAUGUGGGCAGCUAGAUGGCUUAGUGAAGGGAAAGCCAAGCUUAGAGAUGGGAGGUCCUGGGUUCAAAUAUGACCUCAGACACUUCCUAGCUGUGUGACCCUGGUCAAGUCAUUCCUACUCUGCUUUGGUUUUAUUAUCUGUAAAAUGAGGAUAAUAAAACCACUUAUCUCCCAGGGUAAUGAUGUGAGGUUCAAAUAAUAUAGUAAUU